rnacentral:lncRNA from 1 species
CUUAAAUGGAUUUUAUCAGACUGUGCACUGGCUGGCAAUACUGGGUGAAGAACCCCUGCUGGAAAGAAGAGGAAGCCAAACCCCGAAGUCUAGUUACAGAGGGAGAGAAAGGAACAAAAAGAAACACCGUGAUCCUUGGCUUUGGUGUAAAUCUGCAUGGCUCCACUGGACUGUUUGAUCAACUCCAGGUGAGGAGUGGGCCCACGGUAUUUUAAAAUCACCCCUUU